rnacentral:lncRNA from 1 species
AGGAGAAUAGCUGAAUCCCUACCUUACUUUGGUGACCGCCGUGAAAAUAAGAACCUCGAAUGGGAAGACCAUCGCGACCCGAACCUCGAGCCACCGUACCCCACCAUAACCACCGCGUCAUCACCAUUAAAUGAUGAAGGAAGGUAAUAAGAACGAGGAAGAGGAUUACCUCUUGAUGCCACGGUAGUCUUGGCUGAGGACCGCCGAGAACGGCUUCAUCCCAGCCUUCGCAAGCCUCGCCGCCGCCCCUCUGCCGGCGUGAACCAAACCUCCGUGCAAUUUUCUCCAACAAAUUUGUCGUGAUCAUAUCGCUGAAUGAGGAUUAGAAUGAAGAAGAGAAGCCUUAUAAGAAGAAGAAGGAGGAAGAAUUGAAAAGUAGGGAUUCAGAUUCCGUUUUCUUUUUGCAGCUGGAGGUAUGCGUGAAUUGGGGGAACCCUGUUUAAGGAUUUCAUUCCCUUAUUCUUCUCAUUACGUGAAAAAUGGAAGGGGAUAUCCCUUUUCCUCCUUUCCUUUCCUUUAU